UACGGAGGAGGCAAGCGUUAUCCGGAAUUAUUGGGCGUAAAGCGUCCGUAGAUGGUUUUGUCAGUCUGCUGUCAAAGCACAGGGCUUAACCCUGUAAAGGCAGUGGAAACUACAAGACUAGAGUGCAGUAGGGGCAGAGGGAAUUCCCAGUGUAGCGGUGAAAUGCGUAGAGAUUGGGAAGAACAUCCGUGGCGAAAGCGCUCUGCUGGACUGCAACUGACAUUGAGGGACGAAAGCUAGGGGAGCGAAUGGG
rnacentral:rRNA from 1 species